rnacentral:rRNA from 1 species
UACGGAGGGGGCUAGCGUUGUUCGGAAUUACUGGGCGUAAAGCGCGCGUAGGCGGCUUUGUAAGUUAGAGGUGAAAGCCCGGAGCUCAACUCCGGAAUUGCCUUUAAGACUGCAUCGCUAGAAUCAUGGAGAGGUGAGUGGAAUUCCGAGUGUAGAGGUGAAAUUCGUAGAGAUCCGGAGGAACCCCAGAGGCGAAGGCGGCAUUCUGGCUCGCAACUGACGCUCAGACACGACAGCAUGGGGAGCGAACGGG